AUUGAACGCUGGCGGCAGGCCUAACACAUGCAAGUCGAACGGUAGCACAGAGAGCUUGCUCUCGGGUGACGAGUGGCGGACGGGUGAGUAAUGUCUGGGAAACUGCCCGAUGGAGGGGGGUAACUACUGGAAACGGUAGCUAAUACCGCAUAACGUCGCAAGACCAAAGUGGGGGACCUUCGGGCCUCACACCAUCGGAUGUGCCCAGAUGGGAUUAGCUAGUAGGUGGGGUAAUGGCUCACCUAGGCGACGAUCCCUAGCUGGUCUGAGAGGAUGACCAGCCACACUGGAACUGAGACACGGUCCAGACUCCUACGGGAGGCAGCAGUGGGGAAUAUUGCACAAUGGGCGCAAGCCUGAUGCAGCCAUGCCGCGUGUAUGAAGAAGGCCUUCGGGCUGUAAAGUACUUUCAGCGGGGAGGAAGGCGGUGAAGUUAAUAACUUCACCGAUUGACGUUACCCGCAGAAGAAGCACCGGCUAACUCCGUGCCAGCCGCCGCGGUAA
rnacentral:rRNA from 1 species